GGGAGGGGGAGGAUCGCAGCGGCCUGGCGGCAGAGCCCAGCGGGGACCGCCACCCCGCGAUCUGCCUCGGCAGGGGUGCGGGCACCCCACACCACCGCUUGCCCAGCCGACCGGGGAGCCGCUUCCCCGACUUGAGCCCGGGGGAGGCACAGCCAGGAACCUGCGAGCGACCUCUCUCCCUUCACCCUCCCUCAGUGAAUUUCUGUGGAUUUCGAUCCAUGGGAGGGAGUGGGGCUCGGGCCGGGGGUGAAGGAAAACAGUUCGUGGAGGCGGAUCGGAGACCCCUCGCGCCCCUCCCGCUCCCCGGCGCCCUCGCGGCCCAGUGCCGCUGCGCGCCCGAGUCCGCGGCGGAGACUGGGCGGCCGCGGGGACUGCCGCGGGCUCGGCUCCGGGGCUCAACACUGCCACUGUCUGACACAACAGCAGCAGUGUCGGGGGAGCUGCGCGGCCGGGGCGCGAGAUGUGGUAGGCUCUGAAAACCGGAUGCAUUUUUUUUAACCUGACAUUGGACCGCUGAUGAGGGAAAGACAACGAGACAGACGACGCUGGCGUGCGGUUCUCUAUUCAGGGUGGUGAAAAGAAGAAGGAAUGUCUUCAGUUCAUACAAAAUGUGAAAGGAUGCAGUGAAGUACAGCAACGGAGACUAUUCUGGGAGGACCCAGCAACUCCCAUCCUGGCCCAUUUCCCUGGAUCCGUUUCAGUUCGAUCCUAAGUAGAUCACUGCCCUCUGACCCAAGUGUUCUUACCAAAGUGCUUUUUUUCAGAGAAACGUUCUGACUGGCCAGAAACGUUUCCUGUUACUCAUCACAGCAAAAACUCUGUUAGAGCAAUGUUUCAGUAGGUCUUCUGUGACCCAUAUACCAGAGUAUUGUUAUUAGUGGGAAGGUAAUGCUUAAUUAGAAAAAAAGAAAAUCAGCAGGGCGUAUGAACUGAUGAUAGAAAUAAAGAUAAAGGCAUAAAAUAUGAUGUCAAAACAAUGGUUCUGUGUGAUCAGAUGAAUUUUGUCUGAUUCCUUCUGUACCUAGAUUUCUGAAAUCCUGUCCCAGAGGCCCUAAAGGACUAAGAUAGCAUGUGGGUUCCCCCCCACCCCCCACCCCUACACUUUCCAAAUGGAGAAACUGAGCUCCAGAAAUCAGAAGGGUUUGCCUAUGAGCAUACAGCUGGCUGGUGUCAUCUGAGCCAGAACUGAAGUUUAUUGCUCAAGUCCUUCCCUUCUAUAAACUUAGCAUGUUAACAGAGUUUUCCAUCCUGUGCUGUUGUGUUUCUUUGAAUAGCAGCUCAGAGAAGCUCAUUAGGUGUUAAAAAUUCAGUAUAAUAGAUGAUAAAUAAGUCUACAGAAUUACAGUGCAAUAAAGUUUACCCAAGAGAUCACCAAUUCAAACCCCAUCAUCUUAACGUUGAAGAAACAGAGACAGAGAGAUGCAGUGGACUGCCCCCAGUCAUUAAAUUAAGACAGAGCCAUAAAUAGACUCUGUGUCCUUUGACUUUUUAUUCAAUGUCCCUUCCUUAAAUGUAGCUCAUUUUUUGAUCAAGAAGUGAAAAGUGAGAAGAGGAGAAGGAAAGGGGGGUCUUCCCCCUCUUUAUUUUAUAUAGCUAUAUAUAUAAAGUGC